CCUACGGGAGUCAGCAGUGAGGAAUAUUGGUCAAUGGGCUUACGCCUGAACCAGCCAAGUCGCGUGAGGGAAGACUGCCCUAUGGGUUGUAAACCUCUUUUGUCAGGGAGCAACGCCGGCUACGUGUAGCCGGACUGAGAGUACCUGAAGAAAAAGCAUCGGCUAACUCCGUGCCAGCAGCCGCGGUAAUACGGAGGAUGCGAGCGUUAUCCGGAUUUAUUGGGUUUAAGGGGUGCGUAGGCGGAAUGCCAAGUCAGCGGUAAAAUCGCGGGGCUCAACCUCGCUCCGCCGUUGAAACUGGCGGUCUUGAGUGGGCGAGAAGUAUGCGGAAUGCGUGGUGUAGCGGUGAAAUGCAUAGAUAUCACGCAGAACUCCGAUUGCGAAGGCAGCAUACCGGCGCCCAACUGACGCUGAAGCACGAAAGCGUGGGUAUCGAACAGGAUUAGAUACCCUAGUAGUC
rnacentral:rRNA from 1 species